GUCCUUGAUUAUUUUGGAUUCUAGGAUUAGCCUUGAGUUGACUCGGUAGUUUAUCUUUUUUUCUUUCACUCACAGCCUGGCUAAUUGACCUAACUACAUCUCUAAACAGGCAAUAGCCUGGGUGUUGGAAGUUAAAAGCUAGCCCGUAGUUUGCUUGAAGUUGUUUAGUGUAGUGUUGGUGUUAGCAGUCGAUUUUGUUAGGAUUUUUAGACUAUUUUCUAGUGAGUUAAGCCUUUGAUCAUUACUAAAACCUGAUGGGUUAUUGGAUGAUUGAGUGAAUUUGAGAUUGGGCUGAGUGA
rnacentral:lncRNA from 1 species